UCCCGUGUAGCUCAAUCGGCAGAGCAGUCGGCUGUUAACCGGCAGGUUACUGGUUCGAGUCCAGUCGCGGGAG
rnacentral:tRNA from 1 species